rnacentral:lncRNA from 1 species
GGAUUUAAUAUUGUAAACAUUUUUCAACCCUAUGAUGUUUAUUUUUACUGGCAAGUAAAACACUAAUAAAAAGAUUGCAAAAUGCUUCAGCAUUAAUAAGAGAACAGGGAAAAAGCAUCUCCUGAGGAUGCAAUGAAAAUACACAAUUAUGCACCAUCAACUGAGUGCUUCUAGUUUUGAGAGCAUGACAAAAUAUGCUUGGUAUGCUACAAAAUUAUUCAAAGAAAGAACAGUAUUUUUAAAUACCAAUGACAGCUGCUUUCCAAGAACAAUUACAAACCAAAAGUACACUUGUAAGGGGAUUGCUUUUAUAAAAUAUGCCUGGUGUGAAAUAUGUUUUUGUUUCAAAUGCUUUUAU